rnacentral:rRNA from 1 species
GACGAACGCUGGCGGCGUGCUUAACACAUGCAAGUCGAAUGGAAAGGCCUCUUUCGGGGGGUACUCGAGUGGCGAACGGGUGAGUAACACGUGAGUAACCUGCCCUUGACUUUGGGAUAACUUCAGGAAACUGGGGCUAAUACCGGAUAGGAGCUCCUGCUGCAUGGUGGGGGUUGGAAAGUUUCGGCGGGUGGGGAUGGACUCGCGGCUUAUCAGCUUGUUGGUGGGGUAGUGGCUUACCAAGGCUUUGACGGGUAGCCGGCCUGAGAGGGUGACCGGCCACAUUGGGACUGAGAUACGGCACAGACUCCUACGGGAGGCAGCAGUGGGGAAUAUUGCACAAUGGGUGGAAGCCUGAUGCAGCAACGCCGUGUGCGGGAUGACGGCCUUCGGGUUGUAAACCGCUUUCGCUCAUGACGAAGCUUUGUGUGACGGUAGUGGGUAAAGAAGCACCGGCUAACUACGUG